rnacentral:misc_RNA from 1 species
GUCAUCUGCAGAAGUAAAAGAGGUUUGGAUCAGAUUUUUUUUAAAAUAUUUUUUUUAUGCAUAUCUGGUGAUUUGGCUUCAGCUGUUUCUCAAACUUAACUGCUUACACAGUGUAAGUUUAUAGAUAUUAAGGGUCAUUUUUAUGCUGCAUUACAUUUUAAGUGAUGGAGGAAAGUUAUAAAAAGAAAGAAAGAAUAUGUUAGAUUCUAGAACAAUUAUUCAUGUUGUUCUGGGCCAUGGUGCAUAGCCACUGUGGUUCUUGCUCGAUUUUUAGUGUAUGUCAGGUUCAAGUAGUUGAGCCUCCAUUGUCUGUGGAAGAUAUAAGGGAAGGUUUUUUCCAUUGGGACAGAUGGAAUUUACUUGUGA